AGUCUGGUGCCAGCAGCCGCGGUAAUUCCAGCUCCAAUAGCGUAUAUUAAAGUUGUUGCAGUUAAAAAGCUCGUAGUUGAAUUUCGGGAUCAAUUUAUUGGUCGUGCUAUUGUACGUACUGGUAUUAUUGAUUCCUACCUUCUGACGAACCAUGAUGUCAUUAAUUUGGUGUCAUGGGGAAUCAGGACUGUUACUUUGAAAAAAUUAGAGUGUUUAAAGCAGGCA
rnacentral:rRNA from 1 species